UCCCAGGUGGCUCAGAGGGUAAAGCGUCUGCUUGUAUUGCAGGAGACCUGGGUUCGAUCCCUGGGUAGGGAA
rfam:Ovis aries breed Texel unplaced genomic scaffold TnplacedScaffold_004081991.1, whole genome shotgun sequence.